GGGGCCCGCACAAGCGGUGGAGCAUGUGGUUAAUUCGACGCAACGCGAAGAACCUUACCUGGUUUGACAUCCCGAUCGUACUCCAUGGAAACAUGGGGGUCAGUUCGGCUGGAUCGGUGAUAGGUGCUGCAUGGCUGUCGUCAGCUCGUGUCGUGAGAUGUUGGGUUAAGUCCCGCAACGAGCGCAACCCUUGUCCUUAGUUGCCACCAUUCAGUUGGACACUCUAAGGAGACUGCCGGUGUUAAACCGGAGGAAGGUGGGGAUGACGUCAAGUCCUCAUGGCCCUUAUAUCCAGGGCUACACACGUGCUACAAUGGCCGGUACAAUGGGUUGCCAAGCCGCGAGGCGGAGCUAAUCCUCAAAGCCGGUCUCAGUUGGGAUUGCAGGCUGCAACCCGCCUGCAUGAACGCGGAGUUGCUAGUAACCGCCGGUCAGCCAUACGGCGGUGAAUACGUUCCCGGGCCUU
rnacentral:rRNA from 1 species